AUCAAGUUAUCAGUAAACAUUCCAUUCCACUCCUUUUCAGGCAGUGACAAGCAACUGAAACCACUUGCCCAGGAAUGCAAGGAACCCUUGGAAUUUCAUCCCGCUGAAGCUGUUCCUACACCGGCGGAGGUCAUCAAUUUAGAAGAUAUUAGUAUGAUUUAGACCACCAGGAUUCAGCAGAUGGUGUAAAAAAAGCAGCUUCCAGUCUAUACAUCAUACCAAGAACAAUGGCCGCAUCCACAAUUGAAGCCAUUUGAUAAGGAGGCAGGGAGAGAAAGGGAGAGUAAAGAAGGCUUGAGAGGUCUGGUUGGCUCGAAGGGAAGAUGCAAAAGUUCAGUUGUCAAUGGGGGCCCAAUAGAUCAGCGAGCUAAAGAUUUUUAGCAACCUAGAUGAUGACAGCUUUCCUAGUCACAGGGAAUCGAAGUGCAUUUUCCAUUGAGCUUGGAGGGCUCCUCAACCAUUAGCUCACUUAUUUAAGUGGGUCCUUGGUCGAUGCUUAUGAUGUGAGGCAUGUUUCCUCUCUGUUCUUCAAUUUUACUUUUUGAACUGAUUCGGACUCUAACCAGCCAUUGUUGUUAGCCUGUAUUCUGCAGUUAUGUUUUUGGUGUGAUGGCAUUUCUUCCCUUGAUGAUGUCUGCGGUUGCUCUUCUUGUCAAUGAACAACCUACAUUGGGUUCUGCAACUUUUCUCUGGUUGGCCUAAAUUUCUAGAAAGCUCAAAACAGAAUAUGAUUCAGUUGCGGGAUUCUGUGAGGCAGCCCAAUGUGUUUUUGCCCAAUUAAAUCAUAUUCUUGUGGCAAGCGACACUAGAACAGAUUCCACCAUGUUUUUAUUUACGUAUGUUCCAUUACAAUCAUCUAAGGUCAUUUUAUCCUUUAUUUGUAGGUUGAUGUGCUU